AUAACACCAAGAUGUUCUCAGCAUGGAGUGUUUCUUAUGUACCAGCCAUGAGACAUUACAAUGGACGUGUACAUGACCAUGGAGUGGUACGGUCAGGUUGAUGUCUCGGUGUGAACUUCUGAUGACUGUUGACUGUUGUGAGAUAGAUAUUAGUCUCAAUGUACCCGAUAACAAGCAGAGGUAUACUAAUUGCUUUGAAAGAACAAGCAGCUAGAAUAGUGGACAAGACACUUGAAAGAUUUACUCCGGGGAACACUUCUUGCAAUCCAUUUAUUGGCAUACUUAUUGCUUUGAAAGCACAUGGUGCUGGAGUAGUGGAGAUGUUCCUCAGAUCUGUUAUAGAGGAAUGAAGAUAGACAGACAAACAACACAGACAGCAACAGGAGAAUGCACUGCACUCAGAAAGAACACAUACUGCUUUUUGAGCCUUGAUGACAUCAACAUUUUACAUACUUGAAAGAUUUACUCCAGAGAAGAAUUCUUGCAAUCCUUUAAUUGAUUGUGACUUCGCUGCCCUACGGUUUGUCAGGACUUUGCUUGAGUUGGAAGAAAACAACAUCCACGGAGUAAACAUUGGAAAGUGAUAGACAUGCUGCUGAGUUUAGCAUGCUCCUCAUAACCAGACCCUUGAAAACACUGCAGAGAAUACUACUUCCGGGUCGGUCUUUAUUGAGGAAUGACAUUGAACUUUAGCCAGGGGUACCAGCACCAGCUACACCAACUACAAACUAUUUUAAAACUUUUGUGUCGCGUAAGGACAUACACGAACCAUCUAGAGACAUCACCGAUAACGCAUUCAAAGAUUCCAUGGAAAUGACCGCACAAGAAUACAGAAUGAACUUUUUGAACUGCUAGAGGACGAGUACUCAUAUGAAAGAAAUAACCAAGGAACUCUAGUGAUAAGCGUAUGAACUUUAACAUGGACAAGAACAGAGCAACUGCACCAGGAUCAAGUUGAAGAUUCAUGAAAGGAAUGUUUUUAUAAGUGUUGAACUCUAGUUAUAAGCUUAAGAACUUUAACAUGGACAAGAACACAGCGUGCGCAAGUCAAGUUGGAGAUACAAUAAAUGACGGACAAGAACAAGAGCAAGAAAUAACGGUUUCGAUUAGAGUCUAAAUUUGCAAAACUGUUGCCAGACUGCACUGAUACCAUACCGGACAAUGAUAUCAGACAAGUGUUGAAACUAAUCAUGGACCAGUGUACUAAAUACUUGUAAUUUGAAAAGCCUAGCUCGCCUAGGAUCAAAUAAGUCACAGUGAAAAUCAUACCAAAAGUUGGAAUGUUUCAACAAGUCAAUGCAAUAUAUGCAUAAUUUUCCCUUUUAAACUCUUACAAGCAACUAUUAGAAAUGAGGAUUACAAGUUAUUGGAUGCACUGGUUGAUGUGUUUUAAAAUUUGAAAUUGAAAGUCUCAUUACAAAUCAGUUUUGUGUUUCAGAUUGGUUGAAAGGUUUUAAGUUAUACAGUGUGUAGAUUGUUGCGAUGUGUUAUAGAUCAAAAUGCCUCA